GAGGAUAGCUUGAGCCUGGGAGGUGGAGGUUGCAGUGAGCUGAGAUCACGCCACUGCACUCCAGCCUGGGCAACAGAGUGAGACCCUGUCUC
rnacentral:miRNA from 1 species